rnacentral:rRNA from 1 species
UCCGGUGACCAUGGCGGAGGGGCAACACCCGUUCCCAUUCCGAACACGGCCGUUAAGCCCUCCAGCGCCGAUGGUACUGCACACUUCCUGUGUGGGAGAGUAGGACGUCGCCGGAU